UCUUCACUGUAGACAAUGUAAGUCAAGCAGCUGAUCUCACUUAUGCUGAUAUUGAACUGAAACCUAAGAAAGAAAUGAAGAAAAAGAAAGAGAAGAAAGGGAAUAGCAGUGAAGAUGGUGACACUGUUUACUCUAAAGUGAAGAUAGGAGAUAAAGAUGUGGCUUCUAGAUCGGUUGAUGUGACUUAUGCUCAGAUUACAUAAAAGCCCAAAGGAGAAAAAGAUGGCAGUACAUUAAUGAAUGGUUAAAGGAAAACCAUCGUUUUUCAAUAUUUUACUAGGUCCU